GGCGACGCGCUUCUCUGCAGCCGACCAGGCAGGAAUUAUCAACCCUCAAUUUGGCUUCGAGUGCAGUCCCCAAGUUGCAGAAUGUGAGAAAACUCCGUCAUCGUGCAUUUGAACCCGAGCGGUGGGCCGGCCUCCACAUGGUGCCUUGGGCCUGUAGCCGACAUGUCAUAUGGGAAUGGUUUCCGUCUGCUUUUUUGGCUAAAUAAAGGCGGCUCUGUGUUGGAGCCUAUUAAAGA